rnacentral:rRNA from 1 species
AAGCGCACGUAGGCGGCUUUGUAAGUAAGAGGUGAAAGCCCAGAGCUCAACUCUGGAAUUGCCUUUUAGACUGCAUCGCUUGAAUCAUGGAGAGGUCUAGUGGAAUUCCGAGUGUAGAGGUGAAAUUCGUAGAUAUUCGGAAGAACACCAGUGGCGAAGGCGGCUGACUGGACAUGUAUUGACGCUGAGGUGCGAAAGCGUGGGGAGCAAACAGGAUUAGAUACCCUUGU